CACUCAGUGAUCGCACUGAACACACACUCUCACCAUGGAUAUUGGGCUGCGCUGGGUUCUCCUGGUCGCUGUGCUCAAAGGUGUCCAGUGUCAGGAGCAGCUGGUGGAGUCCGGAGGAGGCCUGGUCAAGCCUGGGGGAUCCCUGAAACUCUCCUGCAAAGGCUCUGGGUUAGACUUCAGUAGCUAUGUAAUGUGCUGGGUCCGCCAGGCUCCAGGGAAGGGGCUGGAGUGGAUCGCGUGUAUAAAUAGUUAUGGUAGCACAGACUACGCGAGCUGGGUGAAUGGCCGAUUCACCAUCUCCAGCGACAACGCCCAGAACACGGUGGAUCUGCAAAUGACCAGUCUGACAGCCGCGGACACGGCCACCUAUUUCUGUGCCAGAGGCACAGUGAGGGGCCCUCAGGCUGAGCCCAGACACAAACCUCCCUGCAGGGGCGCGCGGCUCCACCAGGGGGCGCACAAGACACACUGA